rnacentral:rRNA from 1 species
UGUGAGCUCGAUGAGUAGGGCGGGACACGUGGUAUCCUGUCUGAAUAUGGGGGGACCAUCCUCCAAGGCUAAAUACUCCUGACUGACCGAUAGUGAACCAGUACCGUGAGGGAAAGGCGAAAAGAACCCCGGCGAGGGGAGUGAAAAAGAACCUGAAACCGUGUACGUACAAGCAGUGGGAGCACGCUUAGGCGUGUGACUGCGUACCUUUUGUAUAAUGGGUCAGCGACUUAUAUUCUGUAGCAAGGUUAACCGAAUAGGGGAGCCGAAGGGAAACCGAGUCUUAACUGGGCGUUAAGUUGCAGGGUAUAGACCCGAAACCCGGUGAUCUAGCCAUGGGCAGGUUGAAGGUUGGGUAACACUAACUGGAGGACCGAACCGACUAAUGUUGAAAAAUUAGCGGAUGACUUGUGGCUGGGGGUGAAAGGCCAAUCAAACCGGGAGAUAGCUGGUUCUCCCCGAAAGCUAUUUAGGUAGCGCCUCGUGAAUUCAUCUCCGGGGGUAGAGCACUGUUUCGGCAAGGGGGUCAUCCCGACUUACCAACCCGAUGCAAACUGCGAAUACCGGAGAAUGUUAUCACGGGAGACACACGGCGGGUGCUAACGUCCGUCGUGAAGAGGGAAACAACCCAGACCGCCAGCUAAGGUCCCAAAGUCAUGGUUAAGUGGGAAACGAUGUGGGAAGGCCCAGACAGCCAGGAUGUUGGCUUAGAAGCAGCCAUCAUUUAAAGAAAGCGUAAUAGCUCACUGGUCGAGUCGGCCUGCGCGGAAGAUGUAACGGGGCUAAACCAUGCACCGAAGCUGCGGCAGCGACGCUGAUGCGUUGUUGGGUAGGGGAGCGUUCUGUAAGCCUGCGAAGGUGUGCUGUGAGGCAUGCUGGAGGUAUCAGAAGUGCGAAUGCUGACAUAAGUAACGAUAAAGCGGGUGAAAAGCCCGCUCGCCGGAAGACCAAGGGUUCCUGUCCAACGUUAAUCGGGGCAGGGUGAGUCGACCCCUAAGGCGAGGCCGAAAGGCGUAGUCGAUGGGAAACAGGUUAAUAUUCCUGUACUUGGUGUUACUGCGAAGGGGGGACGGAGAAGGCUAUGUUGGCCGGGCGACGGUUGUCCCGGUUUAAGCGUGUAGGCUGGUUUUCCAGGCAAAUCCGGAAAAUCAAGGCUGAGGCGUGAUGACGAGGCACUACGGUGCUGAAGCAACAAAUGCCCUGCUUCCAGGAAAAGCCUCUAAGCAUCAGGUAACAUCAAAUCGUACCCCAAACCGACACAGGUGGUCAGGUAGAGAAUACCAAGGCGCUUGAGAGAACUCGGGUGAAGGAACUAGGCAAAAUGGUGCCGUAACUUCGGGAGAAGGCACGCUGAUAUGUAGGUGAAGCGACUUGCUCGUGGAGCUGAAAUCAGUCGAAGAUACCAGCUGGCUGCAACUGUUUAUUAAAAACACAGCACUGUGCAAACACGAAAGUGGACGUAUACGGUGUGACGCCUGCCCGGUGCCGGAAGGUUAAUUGAUGGGGUCAGCGCAAGCGAAGCUCUUGAUCGAAGCCCCGGUAAACGGCGGCCGUAACUAUAACGGUCCUAAGGUAGCGAAAUUCCUUGUCGGGUAAGUUCCGACCUGCACGAAUGGCGUAAUGAUGGCCAGGCUGUCUCCACCCGAGACUCAGUGAAAUUGAACUCGCUGUGAAGAUGCAGUGUACCCGCGGCAAGACGGAAAGACCCCGUGAACCUUUACUAUAGCUUGACACUGAACAUUGAGCCUUGAUGUGUAGGAUAGGUGGGAGGCUUAGAAGUGUGGACGCCAGUCUGCAUGGAGCCGACCUUGAAAUACCACCCUUUAAUGUUUGAUGUUCUAACGUUGACCCGUAAUCCGGGUUGCGGACAGUGUCUGGUGGGUAGUUUGACUGGGGCGGUCUCCUCCUAAAGAGUAACGGAGGAGCACGAAGGUUGGCUAAUCCUGGUCGGACAUCAGGAGGUUAGUGCAAUGGCAUAAGCCAGCUUGACUGCGAGCGUGACGGCGCGAGCAGGUGCGAAAGCAGGUCAUAGUGAUCCGGUGGUUCUGAAUGGAAGGGCCAUCGCUCAACGGAUAAAAGGUACUCCGGGGAUAACAGGCUGAUACCGCCCAAGAGUUCAUAUCGACGGCGGUGUUUGGCACCUCGAUGUCGGCUCAUCACAUCCUGGGGCUGAAGUAGGUCCCAAGGGUAUGGCUGUUCGCCAUUUAAAGUGGUACGCGAGCUGGGUUUAGAACGUCGUGAGACAGUUCGGUCCCUAUCUGCCGUGGGCGCUGGAGAACUGAGGGGGGCUGCUCCUAGUACGAGAGGACCGGAGUGGACGCAUCACUGGUGUUCGGGUUGUCAUGCCAAUGGCACUGCCCGGUAGCUAAAUGCGGAAGAGAUAAGUGCUGAAAGCAUCUAAGCACGAAACUUGCCCCGAGAUGAGUUCUCCCUGACUCCUUGA